GACAGAGGGUGCAAACGUUGCUCGGAAUCACUGGGCGUAAAGGGCGUGUAGGCGGGAAUGUAAGUCGGGCGUGAAAGCCCCCAGGCUCAACCUGGGAACUGCACUCGAAACUGCGUUUCUUGAGUAUCGGAGAGGAAAGCGGAAUACCUGGUGUAGAGGUGAAAUUCGUAGAUAUCAGGUGGAACACCAGUGGCGAAGGCGGCUUUCUGGACGAUUACUGACGCUGAGACGCGAAAGCGUGGGGAGCAAACAGG
rnacentral:rRNA from 1 species